rnacentral:lncRNA from 1 species
ACAUCACAUAUGCAUUUAUUUCUAACCUAGUUCCACAUGUGUUUGGAAGAUUGUAUUUUUUACAGGACAUGUGCAUAAAUACAUGAGGAUACCACAAAAAGGCACUUAUCAAAUAACCAAGACAUCAAGUGAAGUUUCUCAAGAGCAAUUCCCCCUAACACAGUCCUCAUGAGAAGAGGCCCAAGGUCCAACACAUGAAGCUGGAUGCUGAGGGGCGCCACCCAGGGACCGGCCGGUCCCUCGGGCUGGCUGGCCCUUGGCUGAGCCCUCUCAGCACCGCCUUUGUUUUGUGGCUGCA